rnacentral:rRNA from 1 species
UGACCCUACGGGACGCAGCAGUGAGGAAUAUUGGUCAAUGGGCGGGAGCCUGAACCAGCCAAGUCGCGUGAGGGAAGACGGUCCUAUGGAUUGUAAACCUCUUUAGGCGGGGAGCAAUGCCGGGCACGUGUGCCCGGAGGGAGAGUACCCGCAGAAUAAGCAUCGGCUAACUCCGUGCCAGCAGCCGCGGUAAUACGGAGGAUGCGAGCGUUAUCCGGAUUUAUUGGGUUUAAAGGGUGCGUAGGCGGUCCGUUAAGUCAGCGGUAAAAUUGCGGGGCUCAACCCCGUCGAGCCGUUGAAACUGG